CAGCAGCCGCGGUAAUACAGAGGGUGCAAGCGUUAAUCGGAAUUACUGGGCGUAAAGCGUGCGCAGGCGGUUAUAUAAGACAGAUGUGAAAUCCCCGGGCUCAACCUGGGAACUGCAUUUGUGACUGUAUAGCUAGAGUACGGCAGAGGGGGAUGGAAUUCCGCGUGUAGCAGUUAAAUGCGUAGAUAUGCGGAGGAACACCGAUGGCGAAGGCAAUCCCCUGGGCCUGUACUGACGCUCAUGCACGAAAGCGUGGGGAGCAAACAGGAUUAGAUACCCCCGUAGUCCCUGUCUCUUAUAC
rnacentral:rRNA from 1 species